CCAAGUCUGCACACCACGCGAUUCCCAACGGUGCAGACCCGCGAGCUGUCGAAGCGACUUCUGGCUUUGUAGAUAAAACUUCCCUAACUUCAGUAAUUUAGCGUUCCAGUUCUCACCCAUGUCUUUCCUCUAAUACCUCACACUCUAGUUUCCCUACACAUCGCUAAAAGUCGAACAUCCUCCCAAUAUGCUUCCGGAUCUCCAAAUCUGUUUCCGGGUGAGCAUCUGCUUCCUGAUCAGAGACGGGCCCCUCCCACUUUGUCUCAGGCGUCUUUCACACAGCUCUAGCUGUUGGCUGCCCCAGGCUCCGCACAGCCUCCCCAUACUCUUGCUGCGAGCCCAGUCGGACGCUGCACUCCGGUAUCUGAGGCCCACUCUGGGUUCUAAACCCUUUAGAUAAAUGACAGUCCCAAAACCGGAGCAGGGGCUCUCUCUGAAUUAGUUGAAUGCCUGUGGACUCUUUCCCCUCACCCGGACGCCCUGUCUGGCCUUAGUCAGAGAGGAUGUGCUUAGUCCUCAGGUGACUUAUAUGCUAGGGGCUGGAGUUGGGGGGUGGGAGGGGACAGACGGUGUGAAUACAGGUGUGGUGGGAAUCCCCCUUCUCAGAGGAGAAUGGGGGGGGGGGUGAUAUUGGGAUGUAAAGUGAAUAAUAAUAAAAAAGAUAAACAGCCUAACAUCUCCACUGGACUACUAACCUCUGGCCUACGUAUUUCAUUCCAACCAAUAAUAGGCUAAAUUCAGAAGCCAGAGUCCCAUCUCCAACACACAAACAUUAAAAAGCCAAAACAAAAUUCCGAAACUUUGACUUGGGGAUAUUUAAAGAACUUGGAUUUUGAACAGAAAUAGGUAGUCACUGGCCAGGCCUUUGCUAACAGCCUAGGGGUGAAUUCAUCCCGCGCUCUACUGCUUUCCCCACUAGAUGGCGGUCUUGUCAUUUAAGUCUCUGUGACUCUUGCAAAGGUGCUUUGAGAGAAACAGAAAAUAUUUUUUUCCUUUUUUUUUUUUUUUUUUUAAUGAAGUGGUGAAUGCAGACUCUUGACUGUCCCAAAUGCAGAAAAUAAGUAAGGUAUGCGGUCCCUGGCCUAAAAACGUCAGUUAUACCAUCCUAUCUCUAGCUCUGGGAACACCAAGGAAGAAGAGGUGGUUAGGCAAUAAGAAGGGAAAGAAGGGAAGGGGGAAGACACACCGUUCUCUAAAGUACAUACAACGACUGUAAUCAGUAAUGAAGAGAAACUGUGGUUGGGCCCAAACAAGACCACAGUCAGUCUAAGAAAGGGAACGGUUCACUUUGCCCCUCAGAUGUAGGCCACGGACAAAUUGUAGGAGAACCACUUCCUUUAGCUGUCAUCCUCUGCUGAGCACAUUGGGCUCCAGCACAUAGCUCCAAACUCAGUCUCACAAAGGGCUCUCAUUCAUUUCAGUGGGUCCAGGCAAUAUGAAUAGAGAUGAACAGAGUAGAAUGAUUGUUGGAAUUGUGGACCACAAGAGGGGGAGAGGUAGGAGGUGUGAGAGUGGGCAGUAUUUGAUGUGUGGACACAAAUGCACACACACAUUCUGCGUGUUUAUACAUAUGAGUGUGAAACCGCUAAUAAUAGAAAGGGGGUUCAUUCAUUCAUUCAGUCAUUGUAGACAUGGUUUUUCUGUUUAAUCCCGUGUGUAAAGAUAUGUGAUACCAUGACCAGCUCAAAUUUCUUUAAAAUGACCACAUGAGUGUGUGGCAUUUUUGGUUUGUUUUUUGUACCAGCAACUGGUGGGAUUUUUGUUUGUUUGAUAACUAAUUGGUGUGCUUGUCCACGAGGGAGAUAUUCCACCACAACAGGAUCAUUAUCUGGUUUAAUGUCAGGGAAUAAUAGAGUCAGGGAGUCUUGUUUUGUGGGUGUCAAGAAGUAUUCAAUGUUAAGUAGCUUUGCGGUUAGUUCUGCUUUGCAGUUCUGCAUAGAAUCCUGUUGAUCUCAUUGUGCGGUUAAUUUCAGGGUUGCAUUUUAUAAUUGCUUAAGUCACAUUGCUACUUAUAGUAUUGUUUAUACUAUUUAUUUCACGUUGUUUACAUUUGCUGUAUUAUAUGCACCUGGAACCUUAUCUAUUUCAAGUUAGCAAUUUCGUGUAAUAGAUGUCAGUAGAAUUAAGAUCCAUUUGUUCAUUCAUUUUUAUCAAGUGUGUUGUGUCUUUACCUUGGGGAACUGUCAGAACAUUAAAAGCUGGGCAGUGGUAGUGCAAGCCUGUAAUCUCAGGAGACAGAGGCAGUCAGAUCUCUGAGUUCCAGGUCAGCCAAGGUUAAGCCCUGUCUCUACAAACAAACAUACCAACAAACAAAGACAUCAGAGGAAGUUAUAUUUCAUUGGGCAAGGUCUUAUAAACCUUCAAAUCUAGAACUCAGGAGACAGAAACAGGGAAGUUUGUGUUCAAGGCCACCCUGGUCUACAUAUAGAAUCUAAGCCAGUUAGCAAUACACAGACAAACCCUAUCUCAAAAUAAAGCAAAAUCCUCUCAGAGAAUUUAGCUUGUUUGGUACCAGAAUAAGCAUUCAAGGCUCCAAAGGAAGAAUCUCGUGAACAGUCCUACCCAACUAUCAUGCCUAUGAACCACAUCGAUGAUCAUGUUGUCAGGACUACUCUAAAGGUUCAAUAAUGGCAAGCUCACCUUGGUGAAAACCAAUAGCUCUCUAAUUGGACUUAGGACACUCUUAACAACAGGGAAACUAUGACUAGUACUGGAAACCUAGCUAACAUCUCACCUCUGGUGAAGUUAUGAUUGGAGAACCAAUCAACCACCAAUUUACUAAUUCAGAUUAGUUCCUAAUAAAAUUCAAAUAUUUUUCUUGUACUCACAAAUAGGUCUUCUUCCAUCAGCAAGGAAAUUUCUCUUUCAACAGAGACCACUACAAAAAAUCUACAACUGAUCAAAAUGUAGAGUUGUUGAGUCCAUAGUUAAUGGACACAUCUACAAAACACUCAUGCACCUAAGGCUUAAGGGAUAAUUUUGAAGAUGGGCUAUUAAUAUUCAAGAGGCAGGAGACCAAGUAGUUUGCUGUGAAAUUGUUUCUACUACUAACAAUGCUAAGAGCUAUAUCCAUAAAAAUCUCAAAAACAUGACUCCCCAAACAAGAACUGAACAAGCACAACAAUGGACAUGUCAAAGUGGAUGGGAAAAGCCCACAUAGCCUCAAUCCCUGCAGAAUGCACCACAGGCAACUACAUUAUGAUUGGGGCAGGAGUCUACUUCAGGAAUGAGCACACCAACUAGUCAUCUCUUACCAAAUGGUCAGCCUGAGAAACAUAUACACAAGUACCAUGAUAUAGUUAGAUGUGGUUAGAUUUAGGAAUAUAUAUGUAUAUCAAUUAUACACACAUUAUACAUAUAUACACACAUACACAUUAUACAUACAAUAACAAUGAAACGAGAAGCCAUGAAUUUAAAACAGAGCAGGGAAGAAUUCAUGUGAGAAUUUGGCAGUAGGAAAGGGAAAUGAAACAUGUAGCUAAACUAUUAUUUUAAAAUUUUACAAUAUAAAAAAUCAGAACAAAAAUGAAACAAAUACGACAAGAAACCAAACAAAAACAAAAAGUUUGUAAAAUUAUCAGUGUAAUCCAGACAAGGAUUCUUAGAAGCUACCAUGCUGCCAUAACUACAGUGUCCAUCAUCAAGAAUAGUAAUGUUAACUACUCUUGGCACAAACAUGGGGCAAGGAGGCCAAAUAUUGCUGGGGGAGUGAGAACUAGAGAAUCAACUUUGAAAAUCAAUGUAUAAAUUCUCCAAGAAAUAAAUAAAUCUGGGUGUUACAAUACUGACCUGUGGCACUAUUCCUGUGGAAACAAAGACACUCAUAUACUUAGCAAUGCUGGGAACCAACAGAGUUCAACAUGGUGCAUCAAUAUGGUUUCUCUUUUAUUGAUGUUUCAUCUGCAUGUAUGUCAGUGAACUAUUUGUGUUCCUUGUGCUUUCAGAGUUCAGAACAGGGUACUGGAUGCCUUGGAGUUGAGGUUACAGAUUGAGUGCCCAUGUGAGAGAGCUGAGAGUGCUCUCAACUACUGAGUCAUCUCUAAAUGCCAGUGGACCAGUGAGUACACUUGGGUGACGUACAAGAGUGUGGACGAGUAGCUACUGAUGGGAACACAAAGGACAGAAUGAUAGUUGCUUCACCCUGUAAGGGUAGUGGCUAAUAAAGCUGCAAACCUGGGGAUCACCAAACAGCUUGCAGGCAGCUCAACCUGAGGUGGGAAGUUUGUCUUUCAAGUCACUCACACCUCCUCCAGGCAGCUUGACCUAUCUUGUCUGAUUCAGGUUACUUUGACUGGUGUGUGCUUCAUGGCUAGUCUGAAUAUCUUCUGGGAAGCUCAUUUUGGCUGAUAAGUCAGAGUCCAUACUGAUUAUAUAUGCUUCAGGCAGGAGGCACCAGUGAAUUUUGCCAGUUUCUGGGACUCCCUGAAGCUACUAAGUCAUCUAUGUUGCCUUAAGCUCCUGGCGAUUCUUUGUAAGAUAGAAUGUAUGAUCUCCCAUUAGAACAUCUGUUUAUUUACCUCUACUUUAAUAUCCUAUAUUUUAAGAAACUUUCUCCAAAUUAAAAGGUUUAGUCUCAGUUGGAGCUGAUACAUAACAAGUACUCCUGGGCAUGUCCUCCAGGGACUCUCCAUCUUUACCCAGGGGCCCUCCGCUCAUCACGUUCAUUGCACCUUUAUUCACGGUGUCUAGGCAAUGGAAUCAACUCAGUCGGCUCUCAACCAAGACAUGCGUAAAUGAAACUGUGACCCUUAUAUAGGAAGGUAUAUUAUUCAGCUGUCAACAAGAUGGAACUGGGAAAUCUGGAAGUAAAAGUAGGUUACUGAAAGUUAUGAUGAGUGCUGUCGCCUAGGCCCCAGCAGUCAACCAUCACAUUCCCACUCAUGUGGAUCUUAGCUUCAAACUUUUGUUUUGUGUAUUCUAGUGAGACUACAUGGAGAUGCCAGGAUGCUAGAAAUGCACCUUGUAGUGGAGAGAUUCAGGAAGAGAGAGGAGGACAGGGUGAACACUGGAAUACAGGGUCUCUGUACUCCUGACAGUGCUAGAACUCACUAUGUAGACAAGUACUCACAGUGAUCUGCUUGGCUGUAUCUUCUAAGUGCUACAAUUAAAGGCAUGCACCAUCUUA
rnacentral:sRNA from 1 species